rnacentral:rRNA from 1 species
UACGUAGGGUGCAAGCGUUAAUCGGAAUUACUGGGCGUAAAGCGUGCGCAGGCGGUUGUGCAAGACCGAUGUGAAAUCCCCGGGCUUAACCUGGGAACUGCAUUGGUGACUGCACGGCUAGAGUGUGUCAGAGGGGGGUAGAAUUCCACGUGUAGCAGUGAAAUGCGUAGAUAUGUGGAGGAAUACCGAUGGCGAAGGCAGCCCCCUGGGAUAACACUGACGCUCAUGCACGAAAGCGUGGGGGAGCAAACAGG